CCUACGGGCGGCAGCAGUGGGGGAUAUUGCACAAUGGGGGGAACCCUGAUGCAGCGACGCCGCGUGUGGGAAGACGGUCCUCUGGAUUGUAAACCACUGUCUCCAGGGCCGAAAAUGUCGGUACCUGGGGAGGAUGCUCCGGCUAACUAGGGGCCAGCAGCCGCGGUAAUACGUGGGGAGCGAGCGUUGUCCGGAAUUACUGGGGGUAAAGGGAGCGUGGGGGGGGAUGCAAGUUGGGUGUCAAAACUACCGGCUCAACUGGUAGUCGCACUCAAAACUGCGGUUCUUGAGUGAAGUAGAGGCAGGCGGAAGUCCGAGUGUAGCGGUGAAAUGCGUAGAUAUUAGGAGGAACACCAGUGGCGAAGGCGGCCUGCUGGGCUUUUACUGACGCUGAGGCUCGAAAGUGUGGGGAGCAAACAGGAUUAGAUACCCCGGUAGUC
rnacentral:rRNA from 1 species